CGAAGUGCGCCUGCUUGCAAUGUCGGGUCCCGGGAAAUUAUAGUAGCAGACGGAGGACUUGAAGCCUAGGACAAGAGACCCUCUGAAGGACACAUAGUUAUUUCUGGUCUCUGAGAACCUCUCGGCACCGGACUUUUGGGGAAUACAGACGCGCAAUCUCGAGCGUCAAAGCCCCGGAGGAGGCUGGGCUGUCCAGAGCGCGCCUGACUGUAAAUGCGCCUCGGACCUCGGCUCUGCUCAUCGGACCCAGACUAUGCCUAUUGCAUUUCGCUACGUAAAGCCUUCGUGCGCCCCUCGGAGGACAAGGAGAGCGUUACCGUCGAGUCUCCGUUUAUAUUUUUAUUUUUGUUUGUUUAUAUUUUAUUUAGGCUGUACUUUGUGUUUCUGUGUAUGUGCACCAUGAGGGUAUCUGAGGUGCACUUUAGUCAGAAGAGGGCGUCGGAUCCCCUGAACUUGGAGCUACAGGUGGUUGUGAAGGACCAUGGGGAUACUGGGAGUCGAACCCUGGAUGUCUCCAAGAGCAGCGAGUGCUCUUCACCGCCGAGCCAUCUCUCUAGCCAGAGUCUUAUCUGUUGAGGUGACUAUCCAGAGAGACCCACACGUGUCUCAGUUGCCGCUCAAAUAUUCACCUAACCGGUGGUAUCAAUGGGACUUUUUUUUUCUUUUGCAUUGCCUGUUUACGCUAGACAAGCGCUGUCCCAUUGAGCCACACUCUGGAAAGUGUGUGUGUGUUGUUUUGUUCUGGGGUGUUUUGAGGGGUGCAGGACUGUGCACCCAUACGAAGAGGCUAGAGAAACAGUGUGCCUUUCCGCCUUUUUGUUUCAUCUCUUUUCUUUCCUUUUGAGACAGGCUUCUUCACUGAAAUACUUCAGCUAGGCUGGCUGGCUGGGAAACUUCCAGGAUCUGCUCACCUCUAACCCCAAGGCUAGGGUUGGGUGCACACAGUCACGCCCAACUUUAAGUGGGUGCUGGGAGUUAGAACUCAGGUCCCCAGGCUUGUGCACAAGCUCUCCAACCCACUGAGUCCUCUCCCCAGCCGUUUUUUCCGUUUUGCUUCUGGUUGAGGUAAGGUCUCAUGGAGCACUGACUGACCGUGGAUUUGCCUAUUAUACAGUGCUGGAGAUCAGACCCAAGGCCUUAUGCGUGCUAGGCAAGCACUCUAGCAACUAAGCUAUAUUUUUGUUUGUAUAUUUGGGCAGGGUCUGUCAGCCUAGGCUGACAGGGAACCUGUGGCAGUUUUCCUAAGUGCUAAGGUUACAGAACUAACACACCAUGGUUGCCUGCCUUUUUAAAUUUUUUAUCAGUUUAUUUAUUUAUUUAAAAAGAAUCUCCUGUACUCGAGGCUCAUUUUCGUGUGUGUGUGUGUGUGUGUGUGUGUGCGCGCGCGCGCGCGCGCGCGCGCGAGCGUGCAUGUGUUUGGUUCUUUUGCUUUGUUUUGUUUUUUGAGACAGGGUUUCUCUGUGUAGCCUUGGCUGUCCUGGAACUCACUCUGUAGACCAGGCUGGCCUCGAACUCACAAGAGAUCAGCCAGCUCCUGCCUCCCAAGUGCUGGGAUUAAAGGCAUGCACUACUAUCACCCAGCAAUAAAGAUAUAUAUAUAUAUAUAUAUAUAUUUUUUUUUUUUUUUUUUUUUUAAUUACAUGAAGCACACUCAGGACAUAGCACAGUCACACUUCCCAGGAGGUCGUGGGAUCAUCAGAGCCACUGGGUGUUAGUGGCCCUGGUUGGAGAUGGACAUUACUGUCAGAUGGAGACAAGGCUUCAGUGUGGGAAAGUUGUGGAGACGCAUAGUAGGACCUGAAGCACAGUUCUGUAGAUGAACUCCGUGGCGCCAGGCUACCCAUGGAAACAUGGCUUAAGUUAUUUAAUUUUCUUGUUUUCUUUUGUUUUGUUGAGACAGGGUUUCUCUGUGUAGACUUGGCUGUCCUAGACUCGAUUUGUAGAUCAGGCUGGCCUUGAACUCAAAGAGAUCCUCCUGCCUCUGCCUCCCCACUCCUGGGAUUAAAGGAGUGUGCCACCACCGCCUGGCAGGCUUAACUAUAGUUUCAUAUUCUGUGUGCAUUUAUACAACUGUAAACUAGUAAGUGAAUGGAGCAAUGAGAGGGCAAAGAGAACCAGGUGUAGUUUGGGGACAAAAAGCCUGGACACAGGAGCUGUAGGUGACCCCAAAGCAGGGUCCCUAUAUAGAAACACAGUCAGUUUGGCAGCAGGGCUCCGGGACCAUCAAGAGCGAUGUUCCUGGUGAGGUCUUUUCUCAGCAAAGUCCUUGGGCAAAGACAGCCUGUAAGAGCGGGAGAUCAUUUCUCAUCCCAGACAGAAAAGAAAUGGGGGAGCGGGGGACACCCCAGAAAGGUAAAGCUCUCAGCUGCACCUCUCCUUUGAUCCCUGCCGACACCACUGCUCAGCACCUUCACAGACAGCGCGCCCUCUGAGAGUACAGCUAACUUGAUAAUAUAUGUCAUCUCCAACCCCCACCAGGCUAGAGGGCCACAGCAAGGCAAUCCACAGCACCCAUCUAUUCACCGAAACAGUGACUGCAAACCAAUUAAUUCUUCCCGCAUUCGGGGUGCUUGUCCAAUGGUGGCGACGUGGCAUGGUGGCAUGGCAGUGUCUUCCUUUCUUCUGGCCUUGAACUGGAGCCUCCUGCCUGGCCUCCCCAGGAGCUGGAUGACAGACAUGUGGGCUAUCAUGCAUGUUCUCCUUCUGUUUUGUUUUCCUGUAGGCUUGUCUGGACACUGUAAGUAGUGAAAAUGACCUUGAACUUCUGAUCCUCCUGCCUUCCACUUUCCUAGCACUGCUUGGAACUGUGUGUAAACCACGCCCACCUCAGCCACACUUAGGACUGUGAAAAGAAAUAGGCAUAGGAGGGAACGGAACAGGGCUUCCAGCGGAACAGGGCUUCCAGCGGAACAGGGCUUCCAGCGGAACAGGGCUUCCAGCGGAACAGGGCUUCCAGCGGAACAGGGCUUCCAGCGGAACAGGGCUUCCAGCGGAACAGGGCUUCCAGCGGAACAGGGCUUCCAGCGCAGGCCAGACUGGUGCUCAUCACUCAGCCAUGCCCCAAACCCUCACUGGGGAAUUCAAGGCAGGGACUCCAACCUGGCCACGUCCCCCAGCCCCCACACCUCACUAGAGAAUUCUCAAAAGGAUCUCUGAAAUAAGCUCAGCAAGGGAGACGGGAGAACACGAGGCCCUGCCAGUGGAUCCUUAGACGCUUCUGAAAGAAAAAUAAAAACAUGCCUCCAGGCUGGAGAAACAGCUCCGCUUAAGAGCACUGGCUGCUCUUCAAGAUAACCGGAGUUCAAUUCCCAGCACCUGCAUGGCAGCUCACAACUGUCUCUAAUCCGACACCUUCACACAGACAUACAUGCAAUACACAUGAAAUAAAAAGUUAAAAAAGAAAACCCACUUCCACCCAAGAACUUAAAAUGUCUGUUCAUAUCAGCAUGAAUCCUACAAAUUUUAAACACAACCCACAGUCAGUUCAUGGAUGGAUGGAUAAAGAACACAUAGGAGUCUUUUGUUUCACACACUGGAGUCUUGUUCAGUCCUGAAUAGAAAAAAAGGCUGGGACACAUGACAGUGCAGGACAGUGGUUCUCAACCUUCCCAGUACUGCAACCCUUCAGCACAGCUCCCCAACCAUAAAAUUAUUUCCAUUGCUACUUCAGAACUGUAGUUUUGCUGUUAUUGUGAAUCACAGUACAAAUAUCUGUAUUUUCCGAUGGUGUUAGGCAACCACUGUGAAAAGCUCGUUGGACUCCCCUCCAAAGGGGGCCUGACCCACAGGUUGAGAACCGCUGGUGUCGGGCUCUGGAAAACAUGAUGCUCAGUGAGGCAACCAGACACAAAAGGCCACGCUUGAAACUGCCGAGAAAGAUUUUGAAUGGUACAAGGACCCGUGAGCUGAUCGUUGUGACGGGGCCUGGGGACAGCAUGGCAAGACGGCGCAGUGAAGCGGAGGUUUCCCAGGUUUGCAGGUGGGGAUCCAAGAGGCCACACAAGGAGGAUGUUUUCGGCCCGCGAGGAAGCUAGAAUCAGAUGGGAGUGUGCGCUGCGCAAUUAUAGAGGACUCCAGAGAACCGUGAAAGCCGGAGGAGCCGAAGGCCUCGUGGAUGCCUGUGCGCGAGGCUGUGCAGUAGGAAGUGACGAGGAGCGCAGGAGCUGCGGGCGUGCCCCACUCAAGGUCUCCAGCACUGACGAACAGGAGCCAGGGAGAAGUCCCACCAGGCAGGAAGGCUUACCCUUGGGGACGGGGUCCCCCCAGCCGACAUAUGCGCGCAAUACCAGUGUCGGCCACUAGGUGGGGUGCAGCAGCGCCCAGGCACAGGUGCGAAGGGGCGGCUCAGCUCCACCCCAGCGCCAGGUCCCUAAGCUCUGCAGAGCUCUGUGAAUCGGGGUCUUUUUCUCCAACAGGGAUGUAAACUCCCAUUGGUUCCUAAAAGCUCUCGACCUCUUGAAUCCCCACCCACAUGCCUUUUUCUGCACCAACCUCCUUCAUAAUUCCAAGAGGGAAUGCAGUAGGCAUUCUACUUGCUCAGGAAGGCAUAGCAAGAAUGGCACGUGUGUGUGGUGGGGUCGGUCCCGAGGCAUCUUCUGGCUAGAGACUGUUGAGUUCCUCCACUAUGUGCAGCUCUAGGGGUCCUUCCCCACCCCCACCUCCCCUGCUGUCUCCGGAAGGGGGCGGGAAGCGGACGCCCCCAGGCGCCCUGUCACCGAGCUCCGGUUGCUGGGUAACGGGGCGGCGGGUGCGCAGCUGCGCCAGGCGUGGGUGACUUUGAGUUGUGCAUGCUGCUGUAGGCAGCCCCCUCCCAGAGCCUCAGAGGGUCACAGCCCAGCUGGAGCUGCCUCAGUUUCUCCAGAACGUAGCUGGGGACCUUGGGGGACAUACUGAUAGGGGCGGGACAUGCGAACCAAUCACACAAGACACCAGGGCAGGUUUUAAAAAAGGGCUUCUUUAAUUAAAUACAAGGGUGAGAGGCCAGGCGGAAUGGAGGAGGGGUGCCCCCACAGAAAGAACAAAAUCCCUUAGACUCUUGUCCUGGCUGCCCCUCAAUGGUUAGACCCAGGUCCCAGUGACCAACCAGAACGUGAAGUUAGGAGGGAGGGAGGGAGGCAGGAAAGCUCUGGUUGCUUAUGGACCUCAGACCCCGUUUGCAGGAAGAACAGGGGACCAGCAAGAGCUCGGAUGAAGCAGGAUACAUCCAAAAGACACAAGAAGAAUGGGGCCCCAGCCCCCCACCCCACCCCACCACUAAGGCAUCUCAUUUCUGUGGCCAAAGAGAAGGGGCAAAUGGAAGUACCUGGGAGGAGGGCUGGGCCAGGACCCUACGAGCCCAGCUCUAGAAGGGUAACCCCUCCCCACACACAAACAUAGGCUCAGGUAAAGGUGGCUUUACCCAAAGCCUCCCUCGCUGGACGAUGGAAGGUUCUGGAACAAACUGGGUAGGCCAGAAACCUCCCACAGCCUACACAGGGCAGCUCAGCUAUCUCUGGGUCCCCAAUUCCUGGGGGGUGGGGGUUGUCCCUAAUUGCCUUUCUAGAAAAGGAACUCCAAACUGCAGUAGAAAGAGGACCCUGAGAAAGGCUCUCCUGAGAGAGACCUCCCCAAUCCACUUCCAUGUUCACCGUGAGACCUUCCCCCAACACUUAUACCCCUGAGGACGGUGGCCACACAAAAGGACCCCCUGGAACAAGAAACUAGAGCCUGAAAAAAUAGUCUAUCCCUUAAAAAAAAAAAAAAAUUAAAAAAAGCAAAUAAAACAAAACAAAAAAACCCAAA